rnacentral:piRNA from 1 species
UGAGUCAUAGGUGGCUGCAAGACACAAAU